UAACCUUAAUAAUCGAUCGGUCUUCCGUGUUGGUAAAAUUUUCUUUAUGAACGUGCACUUAGGUUUUACCAAACAGACACGGAAUGCGGACCAACGAACGUAUUUACAGUCGGGUGGAAUGAAUACCUAGUUGGGCCGAGGGUUACGGAACAGGCGACCUUUUAAUGUUGAUGGAUAAUGUGAUGGACUUUAGUGCUGAAUAAUACAUACUUUUGUAUAUUGACACGAAUUUGGGUUGCAUGCUGUCAUAGAUAUUAAUAGAAUCGAUAUAUACAUAGCGAAAUGAAAUGAAAUUGGAUGCCCGUCUGAAUGUGAGAAGGAAGCAGGGUUGCUUUUUCAGUUGGGAGAAACCCACAUUUUAUGCAGUUUUUUAUUGCCUCUUCUGAGAAUAGUUUAUUUGGGAGGUUCUAAGUAUUUAUAAAUUAGAUAGGAGGGACCCUAAGGCAAACGUUUUGAAAAAAGAUCCCGGGAUAAAAAUUGCAUAAAAAUCGAUAUGAACGAGUGAAUUAUUCUGAAUAAUCUGCUGCAUCGUAAAAUUUAACUCAAGUUAUCAGCCCAAUGACCUUCAGUUCAUAUACCUUAGCAUGGAGUGAAUGUCAUGUAUUCAGACAUAUAUGUAUGUAUACACGAAACAGGUAUACCAGCAUAUGCAAAUGUGGAUGAAUCAUGUGAUUAAAACGUGCCUGAGGAGAUUCAGACUCACAGUUGGGAAGGAUUGACGUUGAAUACAUGAAUACGUAAGUUGGGGAUGUCUCAAAAUGAGAAUAAAUGGAGUGACGUGUGAUGCUUGUUGCCUUAUCAAAUUCAAGUUUAAGUUAAAUAUUUAUGUAAAAAAUUUCUUUUUUAGUUGAAAAUUUUCAAUAAAUUUGGAAUAUGGUUAUGGAUAUUUUUUCGAAAUUUUCUGAUUUUUUUAAUACUGUUUUGUCCAUUAUUGCAAUUUCGGAGUUUUAUCCUGUUUUGCGUUGUUCUAAAAACUUAAAAAUUUCUGAAUUUUUUUAAAUUGAAAUUUUUCAAUGAAUUUGGACUUUCAAAGAUUCAGCAUGAUUUUUCGUAAUUUUUUCUGAUUUUUUUUCGCAUAUUUUUUUCAUACCGUAAUUCCUCCAUAAUUGAAUUGUCUGACUUUUUAAGUGGUUUCAUCCUGUUUUGCGUACACGCUUAAAAAUGUUCCCGACUUUGCAAGAAGUAAACUGGUAGACAACUAUAUAUAAAGUAACAUUGACUAGAUUUAGCGUUAAAUGGAUAACUUCAAUUUUAGUUAUGCAUCAUCUAGCCAUAAUUUUAGUUAAGUCGGUAUAUUACUUUAAACUAAGUUAGACGUUACACCAAUCAGGGUCAGACUGUACUAGCAUUUACUACAUUCCGGGUACUUUGUCCCGCCAAAAAAAAGCUUGGCCCACGCUCCAAUUUUCCAUCGUCGUUGUAACAAGAGUGAGUGCCCGAGUGCGAAUUAAAACUAAAGUAUAUAUUAAUUAAUUUGCCUAAUAAUUAAUUAGUUGAAGCUCAAAUAUUCCACAAUUCCACACCAACUGUACUAGAUAUGGAAGAAACUGCUCGACUACUAUCGCAAUGUGGGCUGGAUUGCUAUUUUGAUACUUUCAAGGAAAAUGCAAUAACGGACGACGCGACGCGAGAAGAUUUGGCAACAAUUGUACCAAUACGAAACUUUGGAAGGAAUUCAGAAGUAGAAAAAUGGCACGAUUUACGUAUGUUUUCAAUGCAAAAAUUCCUAUCACCAUUACUCUCCGAUCACUAUAAAUAUGUGCAUAGGUUAUCAAAGUUAAGGCAAUUAUUUCAUAUUAUUUUUGGUUGUUUUGUAAUUGUGAUUUAAAGAGUUCAAGUGGAUUUAAUUGAAAUAAAUAUAUGCUAAUGAGGA